rnacentral:tRNA from 1 species
AGCCCGCUAUCGGAGUCGAACCGAUGNCCAUCGCAUUACAAGUGCGAUGCUCUGACCUCU